rnacentral:rRNA from 1 species
CCUACGGGGGGCAGCAGUGAGGAAUAUUGGUCAAUGGACGAGAGUCUGAACCAGCCAAGUAGCGUGAAGGAUGACUGCCCUAUGGGUUGUAAACUUCUUUUAUAUGGGAAUAAAAUGUUCCACGUGUGGGAUUUUGUAUGUACCAUAUGAAUAAGGAUCGGCUAACUCCGUGCCAGCAGCCGCGGUAAUACGGAGGAUCCGAGCGUUAUCCGGAUUUAUUGGGUUUAAAGGGAGCGUAGGUGGAUUGUUAAGUCAGUUGUGAAAGUUUGCGGCUCAACCGUAAAAUUGCAGUUGAGACUGGCAGUCUUGAGUACAGUAGAGGUGGGCGGAAUUCGUGGUGUAGCGGUGAAAUGCUUAGAUAUCACGAAGAACUCCGAUUGCGAAGGCAGUUCACUGAACUGCAACUGACACUGAGGCUCGAAAGUGUGGGUAUCAAACAGGAUUAGAUACCCUUGUAGUC